rnacentral:rRNA from 1 species
GGUAUCAGAAGUGCGAAUGCUGACAUAAGUAACGAUAAAGCGGGUGAAAAGCCCGCUCGCCGGAAGACCAAGGGUUCCUGUCCAACGUUAAUCGGGGCAGGGUGAGUCGACCCCUAAGGCGAGGCCGAAAGGCGUAGUCGAUGGGAAACGGGUUAAUAUUCCCGUACUUGGUGUUACUGCGAAGGGGGGACGGAGAAGGCUAUGUUGGCCGGGCGACGGUUGUCCCGGUUUAAGCGUGUAGGUGUGUGUUCCAGGUAAAUCCGGUUCACUUUAACACUGAGGCGUGACGACGAGGCACUACGGUGCUGAAGCAACAAAUGCCCUGCUUCCAGGAAAAGCCUCUAAGCAUCAGGUAACAUCAAAUCGUACCCCAAACCGACACAGGUGGUCAGGUAGAGAAUACCAAGGCGCUUGAGAGAACUCGGGUGAAGGAACUAGGCAAAAUGGUGCCGUAACUUCGGGAGAAGGCACGCUGACACGUAGGUGAAGUGAUUUACUCAUGGAGCUGAAGUCAGUCGAAGAUACCAGCUGGCUGCAACUGUUUAUUAAAAACACAGCACUGUGCAAACACGAAAGUGGACGUAUACGGUGUGACGCCUGCCCGGUGCCGGAAGGUUAAUUGAUGGGGUCAGCGCAAGCGAAGCUCCUGAUCGAAGCCCCGGUAAACGGCGGCCGUAACUAUAACGGUCCUAAGGUAGCGAAAUUCCUUGUCGGGUAAGUUCCGACCUGCACGAAUGGCGUAAUGAUGGCCAGGCUGUCUCCACCCGAGACUCAGUGAAAUUGAACUCGCUGUGAAGAUGCAGUGUACCCGCGGCAAGACGGAAAGACCCCGUGAACCUUUACUAUAGCUUGACACUGAACAUUGAGCCUUGAUGUGUAGGAUAGGUGGGAGGCUUUGAAGCGUGGACGCCAGUCUGCGUGGAGCCGACCUUGAAAUACCACCCUUUAAUGUUUGAUGUUCUAACGUGGACCCGUUAUCCGGGUUGCGGACAGUGUCUGGUGGGUAGUUUGACUGGGGCGGUCUCCUCCUAAAGAGUAACGGAGGAGCACGAAGGUUGGCUAAUCCUGGUCGGACAUCAGGAGGUUAGUGCAAUGGCAUAAGCCAGCUUGACUGCGAGCGUGACGGCGCGAGCAGGUGCGAAAGCAGGUCAUAGUGAUCCGGUGGUUCUGAAUGGAAGGGCCAUCGCUCAACGGAUAAAAGGUACUCCGGGGAUAACAGGCUGAUACCGCCCAAGAGUUCAUAUCGACGGCGGUGUUUGGCACCUCGAUGUCGGCUCAUCACAUCCUGGGGCUGAAGUAGGUCCCAAGGGUAUGGCUGUUCGCCAUUUAAAGUGGUACGCGAGCUGGGUUUAGAACGUCGUGAGACAGUUCGGUCCCUAUCUGCCGUGGGCGCUGGAGAACUGAGGGGGGCUGCUCCUAGUACGAGAGGACCGGAGUGGACGCAUCACUGGUGUUCGGGUUGUCAUGCCAAUGGCACUGCCCGGUAGCUAAAUGCGGAAGAGAUAAGUGCUGAAAGCAUCUAAGCACGAAACUUGCCCCGAGAUGAGUUCU